ensembl:lncRNA
GAUAGCCCUUACUAUGUUAAUAGCUAAGUUUCUUUCACUUAUUCGGACACUCUUGGCAAAUUUCCUGAUGGUGCUAAUCAGCAUUUAUUGAGGUUAUUUUUCCUCUGCUUUGGUUUGUUGUCUUAUUUUUGUUACACAUUGUGCUGGGCUUUUUUCGACUGAAUUAUUUUAUUUCAUCUGCAUUACACAUGUAAGAGCUAGAGAAGAGACACGAGGACUGGAAUUUGAAACAAGGAGAAAAAGAGCCAGUGCUGAGAGCAAAUGGGCCAACAGAAGGAAGAGUGGAGAAGAAUGCAGAAAAGAACACAUGUCUGAGAGCCGAGGAAAAUUGCUUCCGCCACAGGGAGCCAACGGAAUCUAAUGGCACCGAGAGGUCAAAGAACUUGAGACUUGAUGCAGGAUCUGGGUUGACCCUGUUAAAGAAGAAGAAAGAGAGAGAGAGAAGAGAGGGAAGAAGGAAGGAAGGAAGGAAGGAAGGAAGGAAGGAAGGAAGGAAGGAAGGAAGGAAGGAAGGCAGGCUCCUGACUGACCAGAGAGAGGCAGACAGAGAGAAAGGGAGGGAGGGAGGAAGGAAGGAAGGAAACCUCCUGACUGUGUUAUUUAGGCUUGUCCGAUGUAGGUGUUCUCCUAAUCUGCAUAAAUACAUAAAGGUGUUUGUGCAUGUCACUUUCCAUAUAGAUCAUGUGUAUAAGCUCUAA